AUUGAACGCUGGCGGCAGGCCUAACACAUGCAAGUCGAGCGAGCGGCGGACGGGUGAGUAAUGUCUGGGAAACUGCCUGAUGGAGGGGGAUAACUACUGGAAACGGUAGCUAAUACCGCAUACCAUCAGAUGUGCCCCGAUGGGAUUAGCUAGUAGGUGGGGUAACGGCUCACCUAGGCGACGAUCCCUAGCUGGGCUGAGAGGAGGACCAGCCACACGGGGACUGAGACACGGUCCAGACUCCUACGGGAGGCAGCAGUGGGGAAUAUUGCAAAAUGGGCGCAAGCCUGAUGCAGCCAUGCCGCGUGUAUGAAGAAGGCCUUCGGAUUGUAAAGUACUUUCAGCGGGGAGGCGUUACCCGCAGAAGAAGCACCGGCUAACUCCGUGCCAGCAGCCGCGGUAAUAC
rnacentral:rRNA from 1 species